GCAGCUUGUAGUGAACUUGAGCAGCUGAGACAGGUAAGAUAGCAGCUUGUAGUGAACUUGAGCAGCUGAGACAGGUAAGAUAACAGCUUGUAGUGAACCUGAGAAGCUGAGACAGGUAAGAUAACAGCUUGUUGUGAACUUGAGCAGCUGAGACAGGUAAGAUAGCAGCUUGUAGUGAACUUGAGCAGCUGAGACAGGUAGAAAUUACACCUUGAAGUGAACUUGAGAAGCUAAGACAGGUAGAAAUUACAGCUUGAAGUGAACUUGACAAGCUAAGACAGGUAAAGAUAAUAGCUUGUAGUGAACUUGAGAAGCUGAGACAGGUAAAGGUAACAGUUUGUAGUGAGCUUGAGAAGCUGAGAUAGGUAAAGAUAACAGCUUGUAGUGAACUUGAGAAGCUGAGACAGGUAAGAUAACAGCUUGUAGUGAACUUGAGCAGCUGAGACAGGUAA